UCCUCUCUUUGUCUGGCUUGUAUGUGCCAUCGAAAACUAAUGGACUGAGCACUCAAAAGGGUGGAUUGGGUAUUUCGUUUUCCAGUCCCGAUGGCCGUGUCUUCGGUGGUGGGUCAGCAGGACCUCUGAUUGCAGCUUCACCUGUUCAGGUGGUCAUUGGAACAUUUCUAGCCGACUAGAAAAAGGAGGACAAAUAGGAUCUAAGAGGUGGUCCGAAUGGAUCAUCAAGUGAUCCAGGAUGGCCACCAAACUAGAGUGCCACUCAAAGAUUCAACACCAGAUUCUUGUUUCCAAAUAAGAGCCAGCUUAAAUUCCUAGCUUUUCGCUCCUAGCUUCAAAUGGUUACUCUUUUCUAGUAUUUCCAAAUGCUUAGCUUUUCACUCCUAGUUCGCUCCAAAUGCUUAGCUUUCUGCUCUUAGCUCGCUCCCAAUGCUUUCUGCUCCAGGCCGUUUUACUUUUCGGUCUUAGCUUGCUCCAAGUGUUAGAUUUUCAAUACUAGAUCCAAAUGCUCAGCUUUUUAUCCUAUCUCCAGCUUAGCUACUCUGAUGAUUUUGUAACUGGGUGAUGCUUUGUGAUAAUAUAGUUAUGAAAUUUCAUGGUCAUA